AAAACCAUAAAGCUUAUUACCUUUUAUAUCAAGAUGAUAAGUUUUUUUCAAAUAUAAAAUACAAUUGUCAACCAACUCUAAUCAAUAAGAAAAGCUCCUAAAACUAUAAUCAUCUUAUAUGGGAUAUAGACUCCUUAUUAAAAAAGAAAAAUUCCUCUAAAAGCAAGCUUCAGAACACAAAAUAAAUCUGGAUUAAAGAAGCUCCCUUGAAACACAUCAUACUAAACACAACAUACUAAGAUGUAUAUGGAAAGAAUCCAAAAACCCAAGUUCUGACCAAAAGCUUAGUUUAUGCCAACAAAGUGGAUCUCUGUAAAAUUGUUUUAAAUCAGUAAAACAGAAGUUGUGUAUGUGUUCUUGUGUUAACAAUAACAGUGUAAAUUAAACAAAAGGAUUGUCAACAGCCUCACAUCAUAUACAAAUGACAAAAGAACAAUCUUCAACUGUUAAAGACUGACCAGAAGGAACCACAAAAACAAAAACAGUAUGAAAGUACCUUAGCCAUUUCCAAUGUAAUUUAUAAUCAACUUAAGCAUAGUAUAAACGUUUUGCUAUUACAAAUCAAGCUUGAGAGGUUUGCCAUCUUGGCUUAAGAUAAGCAUUAUAAAUAUAAUGUGAAUGACUGGGAAAUAUAAAACCUACCAACUCAAAGCGAAUGGGUAUCACAUUCCCUGAUUUCUGAGAGAAGGAGAAAAAGAAAACCAAGCUCACAGAUACAGAGAACAGAUUGGUGGUUGCAGGAGGCAGAGGGUGGUAGGGAGAAGUGGAGGAGUUGCAUUUUUGUUUUGUAUUGUUUUGUUUGAGUAUAUAUAGUGUGUGUGUAUUUAAAAAAAAAUUAUUUAAAAAGAAUUUUUUUUUUUUUUUUUGCUUCUUAGGGCCACACCAUGGCACAUGGAAGUUCCCUGGCUAGGGGUCAAAUCCGAGCUAUAGCCACCAGCCUACACUACAAUCCAAUUUGACCCCUAGCCUGGGAACCUCUAUAUGCCGAGGGUGCAGUCCUUAAAAAGCAAAAACAAAAACAAAAAACCCUACAAAAAAACCAAAAACCCCACAAACCUAUGUAUGUCCUAUAUAUGUUGCAUAAGGUUCAUAUCACUGUUUUUGAAAAUUUAACUUAAAGCAUAGGAAAUUAAUCUUCAGUUAUUGAUUAAUCAAUUAUAAAUUAAAAUCCAAUUUAACUUGCCAGCCAACAAUACAGAUCAUGAAACCGAAUUUUUAUUUUCUUAUCUAUCUUUGUAACCCUUUUAGGCAAAUGUAUUUCAUUCUUUCCCUGCACUAGUCAUUAUUCCCCUUACAGACAAAACUUUCUAAAUGAAUAUGCAAAUCACUCAAGAUUUUGUUUCAUCACAGUCAUGAGAUCUAAAAACAUCAGUAACAUAAAAUCUAAUCAAUAUUGUUACUAAAAAAAAAAAGCAAAACUUUUGUUUUAGCUAUUUCCCAGCUCAAGGAAGUCUAAACAUUUUUGCUCCUAAUGCUCAAAGGAGGUCCAUUCUAUUUUAGUUCAUCUUCGUCUAACAAAUUUAACUUUGGUUGUUGAUUUAAAAAGACAUUAUCAAAGCAGAAUUCCCAUUGUGGAGCAGUGGAAACAAUCCGACUAGUUAUCUAUGAGGAUGAGGGUUCGAUCCCCGGCCUUGCUCAGUGGGUUAAGGAUCCGUUGUUGCCAUGAGCUGGGGUGCAGGUUGCAGAUGCGGCUUGGAUCCUUGGUGAUGGCUGUGGUGUAGGCCGGCAACUUCCAUAUGCCGCAAGUGCAGCCCUAAAAAGCAAAAACAAACAAACAAAACCAGUAUCAGGGCAGCACCCCAAAUGUAGAGUGGCUGGAUUUAACACAAACACCAAUUCAUUUAUUCAGCCAAUACUUGUUCAGUGGCUGCUAAUUUGACACUGGAGAAAAACGCAUGAACGAUAGAAAAAAAUUCUCAUAGCUACUAGCGUAUUUUAUAAGGUGUUAAACACUCACAUCCUGCAGCUCUUUAGUUAACACUGUUUCCUGUAAUCCACUCUACUGCAUCCUCCUUAACAGGGGAAAUGCUUCUCAUCCAACAAGGCUCAAUCCCUGAAACUCUGUGUCAACUCUCGCGCUCCCGUAUUAUUCUCACUUCAAGUACAGCUCAAAGCUAUUAGAUGUACACAAUGUCUAUCUCACUAGACUAGAAGCUUGUUUACAUUAUAUACAUCCAGUAUAAUACUCAGUAUACUUAAAAAAUAUAUACUAGACUCCACCCAACAAAAUACAUAAACAAUCAAAAUCACUUUUCAAAAACAUCACUGAAUUCUAUGCUUUUAACGAUCAUUUCAAUCUUGCCUUUGUACAAUUUUUUAAGUUCUGACAUAGGUAUAUGUACCUGUAAAAUCGUCAUCAUAAUCAAUAUAACAUAUUCAUCACACUCCAAAAUUCUUAACAGCAUUCUUUACGAUCAUUUUAAUAUCCAUAGAAUCUGUAGUGGAUUUCCCACUGUGGUGCAGUGGAAACGCAUCCGACUAGGAACUGUGAGGUUGCAGGUUCGAUCCCUGGCCUCGCGCAGUGGGUUAAGGAUCUGGUAUUGCCAUGAACUGUGGUGUAGGUCACAGACACGGCUCAGAUCUGGUGUUGCUAUGGUUGUGGUGUACGCCAGCAGCUGUAGCUCUGAUUAGACCCCUAGCCUGGGAACCUCCACAUGUUUCGAUGCUGCCCUAAAAAGCAAAAAAAAAAAAAAAAA
ensembl:lncRNA